UUACACUUAUGAAUUCGCGUCUUGAAUAUAGUAUAUAGGGUACUAUAAAAUUUACGUAUACUGUUCAUAUAUUAUAUGUAGAUUCGCCUUUGGCUUAAGCGAGCAAAUCAUAAACAAGGUCGUCGAGCAGAAGAGCUUACGCAAGGCGAAGCAGGCAAGACAAGUUACAACUGUUUUUUUUCACAAAUAAACAAAUGAAGUGAGGCAAAGGAUUGAGAUAGCGUCAUGAAAUUUCACUAGAAAAUUAAAAUCCUCUUCUUUAUCUCGAAAAGAUAAUGAAUAUAAAGGUGUUGUUUGGUAUGAAAAUAAUAUUUUUCAUCAAAAUAAGUAAUUUUUACUUAUUUUCUUGUGUUUGAUGAUAUUAAAUAAGCAAUAAACAUUAUCCCAAAAAUAUUUAUAUAUAAUUUAAGUAAGCACUGUGAGGAUAGGGGUUGCGAGGGGUGAUGAGGGUUGGUGGGUUUGAGGGUAGAUAUAAGGAUAUGUUUGAGGGUGGGCGUGACCGCAUGAAAUUAAUAUUUUUUAAAACGUUCAUCUAUCUUUAUUUCUUAAAAAAUUACUUUCUUAGAUAAAAUAUUUCUUAAAAAUUCAUUUCCUACUCCAGCUUCAAAUUAUACUUCAAAGAGUGGAAAUAUGAGACAUUUGAAUAUAUGCUAACAAGUGUAAUUACUCCAAAAUAAUGAUAUGAAUUUGUAUUUCUUGCAUGUGAGAUACAAUUGUGUUGUCAAAGAAGACAAAUGACAGAAAAAGGAAGUGAGAAUUGAUCUAAAAUCCCUACCGGGUUUUGGGCCUGUUGGGCCAACCAAAAUAUGCAUGAUCUAUGGUUUUUUGCUAACGAAAUAAUGACAUGAAAUUGUACUUUUUGCCCUUCAAAUGUGUCGGAUUUCAUGGUGAUUUGAGUAAUGGAGAACAAGAGAAGCAGAAGAGUUCCUUGCCUUUCUCCAAAUGAAAACAGCCUCAAACAGACAACAACACCUACAUCUUUGGGUACUUCAAGAAGGCCACGUGUUGGUUCCACAAAAAAGAGAUGCAAAUGACUUGGCUUAGAUCUUGCCCUUUAUUUUAUUGGAUUCUUUGUACAACUGUAGAAUUGUUAGUUAUUCCUUUUAGCCAGUAGAAAUUAGCCAUAUGAAUAGUUUGUU
rnacentral:lncRNA from 1 species